AGCUUUGCGCAGUGGCGGUGUCGUAGCCAGUGAAGGGUAAACUGAGGCGCGACUAUUGCUAGUUGAAAACGUUUCCCAAUACCUCGCCGUGACGACGUGAAAUACCGUCGGCUAUGGCAAUUUUUGGCAGCCUCUACGGAGG